UACGUAGGUCCCGAGCGUUGUCCGGAUUUAUUGGGCGUAAAGCGAGCGCAGGUGGUUUAUUAAGUCUGGUGUAAAAGGCAGUAGCUCAACCAUUGUAUGCAUUGGAAACUGGUAGACUUGAGUGCAGGAGAGGAGAGUGGAAUUCCAUGUGUAGCGGUGAAAUGCGUAGAUAUAUGGAGGAACACCGGUGGCGAAAGCGGCUCUCUGGCCUGUAACUGACACUGAGGCUCGAAAGCGUGGGUAGCAAACAGG
rnacentral:rRNA from 1 species